rnacentral:rRNA from 1 species
GUACACUCCUACGGGAGGCAGCAGUGGGGAAUAUUGGACAAUGGGCGCAAGCCUGAUCCAGCCAUGCCGCGUGAGUGAUGAAGGCCCUAGGGUUGUAAAGCUCUUUCACCGGUGAAGAUAAUGACGGUAACCGGAGAAGAAGCCCCGGCUAACUUCGUGCCAGCAGCCGCGGUAAUACGAAGGGGGCUAGCGUUGUUCGGAUUUACUGGGCGUAAAGCGCACGUAGGCGGACUAUUAAGUCAGGGGUGAAAUCCCGGGGCUCAACCCCGGAACUGCCUUUGAUACUGGUAGUCUUGAGUUCGAGAGAGGUGAGUGGAAUUCCGAGUGUAGAGGUGAAAUUCGUAGAUAUUCGGAGGAACACCAGUGGCGAAGGCGGCUCACUGGCUCGAUACUGACGCUGAGGUGCGAAAGCGUGGGGAGCAAACAGGAUUAGAUACCCCGGUAGUCCCAUGAU